UACGGAGGGUGCGAGCGUUGUCCGGAAUCACUGGGCGUAAAGGGCGCGUAGGCGGCCUGAUAAGUAGGGGGUGAAAUCUUGCGGCUUAACCGCAAGGCUGCCUUCUAAACUGUCAGGCUAGAGCACAGUAGAGGCAGGUGGAAUUCCCGGUGUAGCGGUGGAAUGCGUAGAGAUCGGGAAGAACACCGGUGGCGAAGGCGGUUAGCUGGGCAGUUGCUGACACUGAGGCGCGACAGCGUGGGGAGCAAACAGG
rnacentral:rRNA from 1 species